ensembl:lncRNA novel transcript, antisense to HIGD1C
GCUAGGAACUAAUAAUUUUAGGUAGACUUCUAAUGAAAUGGAUAAAAUAGAAUAAAAUUUGAUGCCUCAAAUAACAGCUAACAUUUACUGGGGGCUUACCAUGUAUUAGGAACUAUUCUGAAAGUUCAACACAUGCUUAGAGGAGGUUAGCUUCAAUUAUCUGAAAAAAUUCAAUUAUAAGAAACAUUUCAAUCCGCAAAGGCACUGGGUAAGGCAUCAUUGUGUUAUUACAGUUUUCUGCAUCCAGUCAAGGCUUGUACUUACCUAUAGGGACAAAGGGGGAGUCUCUAGAUUUCCUGAUUAGUCGGGAUAAUUGGCCUUCAUCCUCAUCUGCUGACCACUGGUUAUCUGAAGACAUUUUUUUCUCUAGUAACAAUAGGAUAUAAAUGUGGUUGCCGUGAAUCAUUAAAAAUAAUUUGUUUUUCCUCUCCCA